UAGCUAGUUGGUAGGGUAAAGGCCUACCAAGGCGAUGAUCGGUAGCUGGUCUGAGAGGAUGAUCAGCCACACUGGAACUGAGAGACGGUCCAGACUCCUACGGGAGGCAGCAGUGGGGAAUAUUGGACAAUGGGGGGAACCCUGAUCCAGCAAUGCCGCGUGUGUGAAGAAGGCCUGAGGGUUGUAAAGCACUUUCGGUGGGGAGGAGGGGUAUUGGGUUAAGAGCUAGAUACUGAGACGUUACCCACAGAAGAAGCACCGGCUAACUCCGUGCCAGCAGCCGCGGUAAUACGGGGGGUGCGAGCGUUAAUCGGAAUUACUGGGCGUAAAGGGUGCGUAGGUGGUUUAUUAAGUUAUGUGUGAAAUCCCCGGGCUUAACCUGGGAAUGGCAGAUGAGACUGGUAGACUUGAGUAUAGGAGAGGGUAGUGGAAUUUCCGGUGUAGCGGUGAAAUGCGUAGAUAUCGGAAGGAACACCGGUGGCGAAGGCGGCUACCUGGCCUGAUACUGACACUGAGGCACGAAAGCGUGGGGAGCAAACAGGAUUAGAUACCCUGGUAGUCCACGCUGUAAACGAUGUCAACUAGCUGUCGGUUAUAUAAAAAUAAUUAGUGGCGC
rnacentral:rRNA from 1 species